rnacentral:rRNA from 1 species
GCCCACCCACCCACCUCCUUCAGCUGUGCGCUUCGGCUGCACGCUGUCGGAAAACUUCACACACCUGUGCACACAUUCGGUGGCGGGGUAACACCCGCGACCGCUUUACAUAUAUCUACGAUAAGUCCAGAAUGUAAUAAAACUAUAUAAUAACAACUUUCAACAACGGAUCUCUUGGCUCUCGCAUCGAUGAAGAACGCAGCGAAAUGCGAUAAGUAAUGUGAAUUGCAGAAUUCAGUGAAUCAUCGAAUCUUUGAACGCAUCUUGCGCUCCAUGGUAUUCCGUGGAGCAUGCCUGUUCGAGUGUCACGUCAAUCAUCACCCUCGCGACGUUAAAAUUGCCCGUGGUGGACUUGGACCGUGCCGUAGUUGGCUCGUCCUGAAAUGCAUUAGCUUGCGCUUUUAGAGUGCUGGGCACCGGUGUGAUAAUUAUCUGCGCCAACGCCUUUAAGCCUCUUCAGCGGCGCUGCUUACAGCCGUCCGUAAUGGACAAUUACACUCAAAGCUUUGGCCUCGAAUCAGGUAGGACUACCCGCUGAACUUAAGCAUAUCAAUAAGCGGAGGA